UACGUAGGUGGCAAGCGUUGUCCGGAAUUAUUGGGCGUAAAGCGCGCGCAGGCGGUCCUUGAAGUCUGAUGUGAAAGCCCCCGGCUCAACCGGGGAGGGCCAUUGGAAACUGGGGAACUUGAGUGCAGAAGAGGAGAGUGGAAUUCCAUGUGUAGCGGGGAAAUGCGUAGAGAUGUGGAGGAACACCAGUGGCGAGGGCGACUCUUUGGCCUAUAACUGACGCUGAGGCGCGAAAGCGUGGGGAGCAAACAGG
rnacentral:misc_RNA from 1 species